GGCUCGGUAGCUUAGUUGGUAAAGCGCUCGUCUAGCAUACAAGAAUCCUGGGUUCAAAUCCCAGCCGAGCAC
rfam:Aedes aegypti strain Liverpool supercont1.672 genomic scaffold, whole genome shotgun sequence.